CCUACGGGAGGCAGCAGUAGGGAAUCUUCCACAAUGGGCGAAAGCCUGAUGGAGCAACGCCGCGUGGGUGAAGAAGGUCUUCGGAUCGUAAAACCCUGUUGUUAGAGAAGAAAGUGCGUGAGAGUAACUGUUCACGUUUCGACGGUAUCUAACCAGAAAGCCACGGCUAACUACGUGCCAGCAGCCGCGGUAAUACGUAGGUGGCAAGCGUUAUCCGGAUUUAUUGGGCGUAAAGGGAACGCAGGCGGUCUUUUAAGUCUGAUGGGAAAGCCUUCGGCUUAACCGGAGUAGUGCAUUGGAAACUGGGAGACUUGAGUGCAGACGAGGAGAGUGGAACUCCAUGUGUAGCGGUGAAAUGCGUAGAUAUAUGGAAGAACACCAGUGGCGAAAGCGGCUCUCUGGUCUGUAACUGACGCUGAGGUUCGAAAGCGUGGGUAGCAAACAGGAUUAGAUACCCGAGUAGUC
rnacentral:rRNA from 1 species